GCAGGUAUGGUGAAGUGGUAUCACAGUAGCUUCCCAAGCUAUUAUCACGGGUUCGAGUCCCGUUACCUGCU
rnacentral:tRNA from 1 species